rnacentral:rRNA from 1 species
GACGUAGGGCGCGAGCGUUGUCCGGAUUUAUUGGGCGUAAAGAGCUCGUAGGCGGUCUGUCGCGUCGGCUGUGAAAACUCGGGGCUCAACCCCGAGCCUGCAGUCGAUACGGGCAGACUAGAGUCCGGCAGGGGAGACUGGAAUUCCUGGUGUAGCGGUGAAAUGCGCAGAUAUCAGGAAGAACACCCGUGGCUAAGGCGGUUCUCUAGUACGGUACUGACGCUGAGACGCGAAAGCGUGGGGAGCGAACAGG